UACGUAGGGGGCAAGCGUUGUCCGGAUUUAUUGGGCGUAAAGCGCGCGUAGGCGGCGCGGUAUGUCGUGCGUGAAAUCUCCCGGCUUAACUGGGAGGGGCCGUGCGAAACUGCCGGGCUUGAGGUCGGAAGGGGAAAGUGGAAAUCCGGGUGUAGUGGUGGAAUACGUAGAUAUCCGGAGGAACACCAGCGGCGAAGGCGGCUUUCUGGUCCGAUACUGACGCUGAGGUGCGAAAGCGUGGGGAGCGAUCCGG
rnacentral:rRNA from 1 species